GACGAACGCUGGCGGCGUGCCUAAUACAUGCAAGUAGAACGCAGUUGCGAACGGGUGAGUAACGCGUAGGUAACUGCCUCAUAGCGGGGGAUAACUAUUGGAAACGAUAGCUAAUACCGCAUACUGUGGGAUGGACCUGCGUUGUAUGAGGUAGUUGGGGAGGUAAAGGCCCACCAAGGCGACGAUACAUAGCCGACCUGAGAGGGUGGUCUGCCAAAAUGGGAAUGGAGAACGGCCCAGACUUCUACGGGAGGGAGGAGUAGGGAAUCUUCGGCAAUGGACGGAAGUCUGGCCGAGCAACGCCGCGUGAGUGAAGAAGGUUUUCGGAGCGUAAAGCUCUGUUGUUAGGGAAGCGGUAACGAACCAGAAAGGGACGGCUAACUACGUGCCAGCAGCCGCGGUAAUAC
rnacentral:rRNA from 1 species